rnacentral:lncRNA from 1 species
GGUGGCUAUCCCUCUGGAGCAUGGAACUUCUGGACUAGAAAAGGCCUGGUUUCUGGUGGAGUAUACAAUUCUCAUAUAGGUGAGUGUUUGCCUACAACUCCUGUCUCUCAGGCAUUUCAUAGGCAAGUGUCAGUGGCUUCUUUUCUAUGGUGAUGGGAAGGUAAAAGAUAAAGGGCCAGCUGAUGGGUAGUUAGCCAGACCAUCUUCAAUACAGAAGCUGCCCCGUAGGAUAUAGACAUGGUCUGGCCUGGGGGCCCCGCGGUAGGGUUGCAGGCUGAUAUCGUCUCCUCCAUUCUUCAGGCUGCUUACCCUACACCAUCCCUCCCUGUGAACACCAUGUCAAUGGCUCCCGUCCCCCAUGCACUGGAGAAGGAGAUACUCCCAAGUGCAACAAGAUGUGUGAGGCUGGCUACUCCACAUCCUACAAGGAAGAUAAGCACUAUGGGUACACUUCCUACAGUGUGUCUGACAGCGAGAAGGAGAUCAUGGCGGAAAUCUACAAAAAUGGCCCAGUGGAGGGUGCUUUUACUGUGUUUUCUGACUUCUUGACUUACAAAUCAGGCGUAUACAAGCAUGAAGCCGGUGAUGUGAUGGGAG